rnacentral:rRNA from 1 species
GGUUAAGUGACUAAGCGUACACGGUGGAUGCCUAGGCAGUCAGAGGCGAUGAAGGGCGUGCUAAUCUGCGAAAAGCGUCGGUAAGGUGAUAUGAACCGUUAUAACCGGCGAUACCCGAAUGGGGAAACCCAGUGUGUUUCGACACAUUAUCAUGUCAUGAAUACAUAGUGGCAUGAGGCGAACCGGGGGAACUGAAACAUCUAAGUACCCCGAGGAAAAGAAAUCAACCGAGAUUCCCCCAGUAGCGGCGAGCGAACGGGGAGGAGCCCAGAACCUGAAUCGGCUUGUGUGUUAGUGGAAGCGUCUGGAAAGUCGCGCAGUAAAGGGUGAUAGCCCCGUACACUAAAAUGCACAGGUCGUGAGUUCGAUGAGUAGGGCGGGACACGUGACAUCCUGUCUGAAUAUGGGGGGACCAUCCUCCAAGGCUAAAUACUCCUGACUGACCGAUAGUGAACCAGUACCGUGAGGGAAAGGCGAAAAGAACCCCGGCGAGGGGAGUGAAAUAGAACCUGAAACCGUGUACGUACAAGCAGUGGGAGCACCUUCGUGGUGUGACUGCGUACCUUUUGUAUAAUGGGUCAGCGACUUAUAUUUUGUAGCAAGGUUAACCGUAUAGGGGAGCCGUAGGGAAACCGAGUCUUAACUGGGCGACUAGUUGCAAGGUAUAGACCCGAAACCCGGUGAUCUAGCCAUGGGCAGGUUGAAGGUUGGGUAACACUAACUGGAGGACCGAACCGACUAAUGUUGAAAAAUUAGCGGAUGACUUGUGGCUGGGGGUGAAAGGCCAAUCAAACCGGGAGAUAGCUGGUUCUCCCCGAAAGCUAUUUAGGUAGCGCCUCGUGAACUCAUCUUCGGGGGUAGAGCACUGUUUCGGCUAGGGGGCCAUCCCGGCUUACCAAACCGAUGCAAACUCCGAAUACCGAAGAAUGUUAUCACGGGAGACACACGGCGGGUGCUAACGUCCGUCGUGAAGAGGGAAACAACCCAGACCGCCAGCUAAGGUCCCAAAGUCAUGGUUAAGUGGGAAACGAUGUGGGAAGGCAUAGACAGCCAGGAUGUUGGCUUAGAAGCAGCCAUCAUUUAAAGAAAGCGUAAUAGCUCACUGGUCGAGUCGGCCUGCGCGGAAGAUGUAACGGGGCUAAACCAUGCACCGAAGCUGCGGCAGCGACGCUUAGGCGUUGUUGGGUAGGGGAGCGUUCUGUAAGCCGUUGAAGGUGGCCUGUGAGGGUUGCUGGAGGUAUCAGAAGUGCGAAUGCUGACAUAAGUAACGAUAAAGCGGGUGAAAAGCCCGCUCGCCGGAAGACCAAGGGUUCCUGUCCAACGUUAAUCGGGGCAGGGUGAGUCGACCCCUAAGGCGAGGCUGAAAAGCGUAGUCGAUGGGAAACAGGUUAAUAUUCCUGUACUUGGUGUUACUGCGAAGGGGGGACGGAGAAGGCUAGGCUGGCCGGGCGACGGUUGUCCCGGUUUAAGCGUGUAGGGGGUGUGACCUGGUAAAUCCGGUUGCAUAUCAACCCUGAGGCGUGAUGACGAUGCACUACGGUGCAGAAGUAGUUGAUGCCCUGCUUCCAGGAAAAUCCUCUAAGCAUCAGGUAACAUUAAAUCGUACCCCAAACCGACACAGGUGGUCAGGUAGAGAAUACCAAGGCGCUUGAGAGAACUCGGGUGAAGGAACUAGGCAAAAUGGUGCCGUAACUUCGGGAGAAGGCACGCUGGCAUGUAGGUGAAGUCCCUUGCGGAUGGAGCUGAAGCCAGUCGAAGAUACCAGCUGGCUGCAACUGUUUAAUAAAAACACAGCACUGUGCAAACACGAAAGUGGACGUAUACGGUGUGACGCCUGCCCGGUGCUGGAAGGUUAAUUGAUGGGGUCAGCCGCAAGGCGAAGCUCUUGAUCGAAGCCCCAGUAAACGGCGGCCGUAACUAUAACGGUCCUAAGGUAGCGAAAUUCCUUGUCGGGUAAGUUCCGACCUGCACGAAUGGCGUAAUGAUGGCCAGGCUGUCUCCACCCGAGACUCAGUGAAAUUGAACUCGCUGUGAAGAUGCAGUGUACCCGCGGCAAGACGGAAAGACCCCGUGAACCUUUACUAUAGCUUGACACUGAACAUUGAGCCUUGAUGUGUAGGAUAGGUGGGAGGCUUUGAAGCGUGGACGCCAGUCUGCGUGGAGCCAUCCUUGAAAUACCACCCUUUAAUGUUUGAUGUUCUAACUCGGCCCCAUAAUCUGGGGUGAGGACAGUGUCUGGUGGGUAGUUUGACUGGGGCGGUCUCCUCCCAAAGAGUAACGGAGGAGCACGAAGGUUAGCUAAUCACGGUCGGACAUCGUGAGGUUAGUGCAAAGGCAUAAGCUAGCUUGACUGCGAGAGUGACGGCUCGAGCAGGUACGAAAGUAGGUCUUAGUGAUCCGGUGGUUCUGAAUGGAAGGGCCAUCGCUCAACGGAUAAAAGGUACUCCGGGGAUAACAGGCUGAUACCGCCCAAGAGUUCAUAUCGACGGCGGUGUUUGGCACCUCGAUGUCGGCUCAUCACAUCCUGGGGCUGAAGUAGGUCCCAAGGGUAUGGCUGUUCGCCAUUUAAAGUGGUACGCGAGCUGGGUUUAGAACGUCGUGAGACAGUUCGGUCCCUAUCUGCCGUGGGCGUUGGAAGAUUGAGAGGGGUUGCUCCUAGUACGAGAGGACCGGAGUGAACGCACCACUGGUGUUCGGGUUGUCAUGCCAAUGGCAUUGCCCGGUAGCUAAGUGCGGAAAAGAUAAGCGCUGAAAGCAUCUAAGCGCGAAACUUGCCUCAAGAUGAGUCUUCCCUGGGCCUUUAAGGCCCCUGAAGGAACGUUUAAGACUAAGACGUUGAUAGGCUGGGUGUGUAAGUGCAGCGAUGCAUUGAGCUAACCAGUACUAAUGAUCCGUGAGGCUUAACCUU